UACGUAGGGGGGCAAGCGUUGUCCGGAAUUAUUGGGCGUAAAGAGCGUGUAGGCGGUCCGGUAAGUCAGCUGUGAAAGUCAAGGGCUCAACCCUCGAAUGCCGGUGGAUACUGUCGGGCUUGAGUACGGGAGAGGCGAGUGGAAUUCCUGGUGUAGCGGUGAAAUGCGCAGAUAUCAGGAGGAACACCAAUUGCGAAGGCAGCUCGCUGGGACGUUACUGACGCUGAGACGCGAAAGCGUGGGGGAGCAAACAGG
rnacentral:rRNA from 1 species